rnacentral:rRNA from 1 species
GCAUAUCAAUAAGCGGAGGAAAAGAAACUAACAAGGAUUCCCCUAGUAACUGCGAGUGAAGCGGGAAAAGCUCAAAUUUAAAAUCUGGCGGUCUUUGGCCGUCCGAGUUGUAGUCUGGAGAAGUGCUUUCCGCGCUGGACCGUGUAUAAGUCUCUUGGAACAGAGCGUCAUAGAGGGUGAGAAUCCCGUCUUUGACACGGACUACCAGUGCUUUGUGAUGCGCUCUCAAAGAGUCGAGUUGUUUGGGAAUGCAGCUCAAAAUGGGUGGUGAAUUCCAUCUAAAGCUAAAUAUUGGCGAGAGACCGAUAGCGAACAAGUACCGUGAGGGAAAGAUGAAAAGCACUUUGGAAAGAGAGUUAAACAGUACGUGAAAUUGCUGAAAGGGAAACGCUUGAAGUCAGUCGCGUUUGCCGGAACUCAGCCUUCCUUUUGGUUGGUGCACUUUCCGGUAGACGGGCCAGCAUCGAUUUCGACCGUCGGAUAAGGGCUGGGGAAAUGUGGCACCUUUCGGGGUGUGUUAUAGUCCUCAGUCGCAUACGUCGGUUGGGAUCGAGGAUCGCAGCGCGCCGCAAGGCAGGGGUUCGCCCACUUUCGCGCUUAGGAUGCUGGCAUAAUGGCUUUAAACGACCCGUCUUGAAACACGGACCAAGGAGUCUAACAAACCUGCGAGUGUUUGGGUGGAAAACCCGAGCGCGUAAUGAAAGUGAAAGUUGAGACCUCUGUCGUGGAGGGCAUCGACGCCCGGACCUGAAGUUCUCUGACGGUUCCGCGGUAGAGCAUGUUUGUUGGGACCCGAAAGAUGGUGAACUAUGCCUGAAUAGGGUGAAGCCAGAGGAAACUCUGGUGGAGGCUCGUAGCGAUUCUGACGUGCAAAUCGAUCGUCAAAUUUGGGUAUAGGGGCGAAAGACUAAUCGAACCAUCUAGUAGCUGGUUCCUGCCGAA